GGCUCAGAGUGAACGCUGGCGGCGUGCUUAACACAUGCNAGUCGAACGAUGAAGCUCUUGCUUGCANGAGUGGAUUANUGGCGCACGGGUGAGUAAUGUAUAGCUAACCUGCCCCUUAGAGGGGGACAACAGAUGGAAACGUCUGCUAAUACCCCAUACUCCAUAUAGGCUAAAGUCUNUAUGGGAAAACUCAGGUGCUAAGGGANGGGGCUGUAUUGUAUCAGCUAGUUGGUGGGGUAAUGGCCUACCAAGGCGAUGACGCAUAGCUGGUCUGAGAGGAUGAUCNNCCACACUGGAACUGAGNCACGGUCCAGACUCCUACGGGAGGCAGCAGUGGGGAAUAUUGCACAAUGGGGGAAACCCUGAUGCAGCAACGCCGCGUGGAGGAUGACGCAUUUCGGUGUGUAAACUCCUUUUAUCGGUCAAGAAAAUGACGGUAGCCGAUGAAUAAGCACCGGCUAACUCCGUGCCA
rnacentral:rRNA from 1 species